rnacentral:lncRNA from 1 species
GGCAAAGAACGAGGUGCCACCCUGAGCUCUGAGCAUUUCAUUGAACCUUCAUAGCAACGGUCCUAGGAGGUGGCAGCUAUUAUUAUCUGCAUUUUACAGAGCUCAAUUAAAGGCAACUCAGCCCAAGAACUGCUCCAACCCCGAUGUACUGAAGGGCCCGUCAUGGUGUGGAACAAUGAACGAAAUGCAUAUUUGUUACUGGAAGCACAUUCUGACCUCCUCUCAGCUCCUGAGACCUUGUGUUUUCAGUCAGAAGAAUUCAGCUACGUACCAUGUGGACCUUCUUUUUUAACAUAGUAAAGUGUGAAGGGGGGAGAAGAGACGUCUCUGAAUAAAGAAGCAAACAUCAAGGAGGCAAGCUGAACAAUCUUCUAAAGAGGUAGAGACUGUUAGCCCCGGGGCUGAAUCGCUCUGAGCUGGAUAGGAAGUAGUGUGCCUACUCACUGGAACUCAGCUUCAUUCUGAAGGAAAGUGCAAUCUCUCCCCUACACAGGUAUCCAGUAGUCCUGGCGUGGCCCUGAUUGGCAGGAGAGGUGUAUGUGGGUGGG